rnacentral:rRNA from 1 species
AGAACGAACGCUGGCGGCAUGCCUAACACAUGCAAGUCGAACGAAGGCUUCGGCCUUAGUGGCGCACGGGUGAGUAACACGUGGGAACCUGCCUCUUUGUUCGGAAUAACAUCGGGAAACUGGUGCUAAAUACCGGAUACGCCCUACGGGGGAAAGAUUUAUCGCAGAGAGAGGGGCCCGCGUCCGAUUAGGUAGUUGGUGGGGUAACGGCCUACCAAGCCGACGAUCGGUAGCUGGUCUGAGAGGAUGAUCAGCCACACUGGGACUGAGACACGGCCCAGACUCCUACGGGAGGCAGCAGUGGGGGAAUAUUGGACAAUGGGCGCAAGCCUGAUCCAGCAAUGCCGCGUGAAUGAUGAAGGCCUUAGGGUUGUAAAGUUCUUUCGUCGGGACGAUGAUGACGUACCGAAGAGAAGCCCGGCUAACUUCGCGCCAGCAGCCGC